rnacentral:rRNA from 1 species
CCUUGUACACACCGCCCGUCACGCCAUGGAAGCCGGUAGCGCCCGAAGUCCGUGACCCAACCGCAAGGAGGGAGCGGCCGAAGGCAAGAUCGGUGACUGGGGCG